rnacentral:rRNA from 1 species
UACGUAGGGGACGAGCGUUGUCCGGAUUCAUUGGGCGUAAAGCGCGCGUAGGCGGCUCGGAAAGUCGGGCGUGAAAUGCCGGGGCUCAACCCCGGGACUGCGUCCGAUACUGGCAGGCUUGAAUCCGGGAGAGGGAUGUGGAAUUCCAGGUGUAGCGGUGAAAUGCGUAGAUAUCUGGAGGAACACCGGUGGCGAAGGCGGCAUCCUGGACCGGUAUUGACGCUGAGGCGCGAAAGCCAGGGGAGCAAACGGG